AAAAUGGCCCUUUUCAGGGCCACCAAAUUUUAUAGCGUAUGAUG
rfam:Habropoda laboriosa contig4908, whole genome shotgun sequence.